GGACUACCGGGGUAUCUAAUCCUGUUUGCUCCCCACGCUCUCGCGCCUCAGCGUCAGUAUCUGUCCAGGUAGCCGCCUUCGCCACUGGUGUUCCUUCCGAUCUCUACGCAUUUCACCGCUACACCGGAAAUUCCACUACCCUCUACAGUACUCCAGCUAGCCAGUCACAGCUGCAGUUCCUAGGUUAAGCCCAGGGAUUUCACAGCUAUCUUAACUAACCGCCUACGCGCCCUUUACGCCCAGUAACUCCGAUUAACGCUCGCACCCUCUGUAUUACCGCGGCGGCUGGCAC
rnacentral:rRNA from 2 species